CCACCCUCCACCCCUCGCCCUUACGCGGCGCGCGGACGCCAGGCACGCCCUACCUGCGACACCGAAGCCCUGGAGGCCGCAGAAGGGAGCCAUGUGCAGCCCGGGCACUGGAGGCCAAGGGCACAGCGGCAGGAGACCCACGCUCAGUUUCUCAAGAAAAGGCCAAGAAAGAGGAAUGGUCCCCUGCUGAGCCUCCUCCAUACUCCGGCACCUUGCAAGGUGCACACUUGGACAUUGUUGGUCCCCACAUCGUGCUGCUAUUCCCGUUUUACAGGAACACUAGCAGUGUGCUGGAUCAAAAGCAGGGCAGCUCAAACUGGAAUUCAUACUGAUACAGGAUGCCAGCUUAACCCACCGCACCGAAGCUCCGGCCCCUGGACUCUGCAUUCCAACACACUGCCAGGGGAGGCUAGUGCUGCCAGACCAGAGGACACGUGCAGGAGUAGCAAGGCUGUAUCCUGGCUUUGAACUCCUCGUUCCAGGUGUCCUCACUGCUCAGAGGUAAGGGGCACAGCCGGGAGCAAGAACAGCAAGCAAGCGUUCUCUUGUCCUCUUGGGAACACAGGCAGAUCAGAUAGAAACAUUGUGUGGCAGGGUGUGUUUCCAUCCUACACACUCCAUUGCUGUUCCCCAGACCCUCUUCUCAGCUCUGAGCUCGCCCUGUGACUUGUUUAGUCACCAGAAGGUGUAGACAGUGGUGCCGUGCAUCCUCUGAGGCUGGCCCUUCACUAUGUGGGGUGCUUGCUCUUGGGAUCCAGCUACCCUGUGAGCAAAUCCAAGAGGCAGUCACAUGGAGAAGAGAGCCCAGCCUCCCAGCCACACCUGCCAAGACCUGAGCUUUAUGAGUAGAGCUCUCCUAGAUAUUCCAGCCCCAACCACCCUCUCAGAUUACAGCCCAGACCAGCUACAGAAUAUGUAGGGCCAAUGCAAAAUGAAGAUGCAGGGUCCGUGAUUCUAAAAUUAUCUAGGAUUUCAGGAGCUGGGCUCAUGCACAUAUACGUGUGGGUAACCGAAGAUGCAGGCGAGGCAGGAAGCAGCUCAUGGGUGUUCAGUCUGCCCUUUUGGCCAAGGAGCCAGGUAGACUGCCAGCAGCCUGCGUUUCUGCCCUGGGACAGCAAGAACUCAGCCUUCAUCUCAGGAAUUCUGGGUAGGGAUUGAUUUGGGCCAAAUGCAUCACCACAUGACCUGAGAGUUACAGGUUUUCUAAGCAAAAAUAUACCUGGGGACAUACACUUGCCUUAGCAGUUAAGAUGGCAAUGAGGAUGCCACCUCCCAGUUCCUGUUCUGCUCCCAUUGUAGCUUCCUGCUAAUGUGAGCUGCUGAAGCAGCAGGUGAUGGUUCAGGUGGCUGGAUCCCUGCCACCCACAUUGAAACCUGGAUGGAGUCCCAGGCUUCUAAUUUUGGUCUGGCCCAGCCCCAGCUGUUGCAGGCAUCUGGGGACUAAAUCAGCAGGUGGAAGAUCUUUCUCUCUCUCUGCCUUUCAAAUAAUAAAUGAAUAAAAAAAAUUUUUUUAAGCGGAACUAGUUUUUUUUUUAAGCGGAACUAGUUUUUUUUUUUAAAUGAAUAAAAAUUAAUACCAGAACUUGAGUUCCUGCAGACUCUUCCCAAUCUCCAACUCUUUUGGCUCAUAAUGUACUGCAGUGACUUUCACCCUUUUUUAAAGGCUUAGGAACAAUUUUCUCUUUAAGUGAUUUUCCCUUUUGGGGUCUGAGGAGCAGAGGGCUGCGGCAGUCUGUCCCGCCCACUCGUGGCCAUUGCCUUCAGAGCUCCAGACCACACCCACUCUUGUCUCUCUCCCUUUUCAUCCCCAUCCCCUUGCAACUUCCUCCUCUUCCCCUACUAAGCACCUCUCUCAUGUAUUUAUUGGUUGUCUAUGGAUGCAUGGUAAACAUGUAGGGCUGAUACAUAUAUGUAUAUAGUUUUUCUAAAUUUCAGUUAAUUUGAAAGAGAGAGAGGGAGAGACCACAACAGCCAUAAGAGGGCCAAAGCCAGAAGUCUGGAACUCUAUCCAGUUCUCCCUUGUGGGUAGUAGGGACCCAAGUACUUGAGCUAUUUUCUGCUUACUCCCAGGGCUUGCAUCAACAGGAAGUUGGAUCAGAAGCAGAGUAGCUGGGGCUUGAACCAGGCACUCCCAUAUAGGGUGCAGGCAUCCUGAGCAGCGUCUUAACAGCUGACUCCCAUGACUUCCCAUAGAUAUAGUUUAAUUUACAUGAUAUUAGGCCAGCGCUGCGGCUCACUAGGCUAAACCUCCGCCUUGUGGCACCGGCACACCGGGUUCUAGUCCCGGUUGGGGCGCCAGAUUCUGUCCCGGUUGCCCCUCUUCCAGGCCAGCUCUCUGCUGUGGCCAGGGAGUGCAGUGGAGGAUGGCCCAAGUGCUUGGGCCCUGCACCCCAUGGGAGACCAGAAUAAGUACCUGGCUCCUGCCAUCGGAUCAUUGCGGUGCGCUGGCCACAGCGUGCCGGCCGCGGUGGCCAUUGGAGGGUGAACCAACGGUAAAAGGAAGACCUUUUUUCUCUGUCUCUCUCUCUCACUGUCCACUCUGCCUGUCAAAAAAAAUAAAAAUAAAAAUAAAAAAUAAAAAAAUUAAAAAUAAAAAUAAAAAAAUAAAAAAUAGAAAACUUUAAAAAAAUUCACAUGAUAUUGUAUACUUAAACUUCUUUCCUCCUUCCUUCUUCUCUCUUUCCUUCCUUCCCUCCUUUUUUUUCCCUCCCUUCCUCCCUUCCUCCCUCCCUUCCUUUUCUUUUUUCACUUGAAAGGGUUUAAAGGUCCCUCCUUGGUGCUGUGUAUGCGGUGAUUUCAUUCUUCCAACAGCUAUUUUGCAGCAUUUCAUGUUUGGAUGAAAAGUCUUGGCCGGCGCCGCGGCUCAACAGGCUAAUCCUCUGCCUGCGGUGCCGGCACCCCGGGUUCUAGUCCCGGUCGGGGCACCAGAUUCUGUCCCGGUUGCUCCUCUUCCAGGCCAGCUCUCUGCUGUGGCCAGGGAGUGCAGUGGAGGAUGGCCCAAGUGCUUGGGCCCUGCACCCCAUGGGAGACCAGGUGGAAUCACCUGGCUCCUGGCUUCGGAUCAGCGCGGUGCACAGGCCAUAGCGACCAUUGAGGGGUGAACCAAUGGAAAAAGGAAGACCUUUCUCUCUCUCUCUCUCUCUCUCUCUGUCUCUCUGUCUCUCUCUCUCACUGUCUAACUGCCUGUCAAAAAAAUAAUAAAAUAAUUUAAAAAAAGAAAAGUCUGAGAUCUGGCUGAUUUUUGUUGUUGUUGUAGAAAACCUUCUCUGUUAUGAAAAAGUUCAGAAGUUUUUUCUUUAUCACAAACAUCACAGCCUUUUAGCAAGAUGCUUGGGGAUGUCUGCUCUCGGCAGUCUUCCCCGCUGCGGGCAGCAGGUAGUUGCAGGGGGGUGGUUAUCGAUUGAGGACAAGGUGUCCGAGAAGCAUCCCAGUGCAGGGUUGACAAGAGGUGGGUGAGAGAAGGUGCCUGGCCUGCACACAUGUCCUGGAGUCGUCUGUAUGCGGGCUCUCGUUUGGAAACCAUGAACUGAUGAGAUCCAAGGUGAAGAAUUAGUGGAGCAGGGAGGGAGUGGGCAGAGCUGCCCAAAGCAUGGGGUCUGAGAGUCCUGGCUCCUGACUCUGGCUUCCUACUAAUGCAGAUGCUGGAAGGGGAAGGCAGCAGCGAUGGCUCAAGGAACUGAGCUCCUGCCGCCCAUGCAGGGGACCUGAAGUGGUUCCCUGGCUGUCGUGGGCACUUGGGAAGUGAUCCAGUGGAUGGAAACUCUGUCUCUCAUGGUCUCUCCGCCUCUUAAAUAAAAAUAAUAAUAAAAAAAAACAACUAUGGAAAACUGAAUUAAAACAUGUUUUUUUAAAAAAACAGCAGAGCAUCACCAGAGGGUCUAUUAUUAGGUGAGCAAUUGUUUUCUUCCCUUUUCUUCUUUUUUAAAAACUAUAUUGGGGGCUGACGCCGCGGCUCAACAGGCUAAUCCUCCACCUUGCGGCGCCGGCACACCAGGUUCUAGUCCCGGUUGGGGCACCGGAUUCUGUCCUGGUUGCCCCUCUUCCAGGCCAGCUCUCUGCUGUGGCCAGGGAGUGCAGUGGAGGAUGGCCCAAGUCCUUGGGCCCUGCACCCCAUGGGAGACCAGGAGAAGUACCUGGUUCCUGGCUUCGGAUCAGCGCAGUGCGCCGGCCACAGUGCACCAGCCAUGGCGGCCAUUGGAGGGUGAACCAACGGCAAAAGGAAGACCUUUCUCUCUGUCUCUCUCUCACUAUCCACUCUGCCUGUUAAAAAUAAAUAAAUAAAUAAAUAAAAUAAAAAAAUAAAAAAAAUAAAAACUAUAUUGGGGCAGGCGCUGUGGCAUAGUGGGCUAAGCCUCCGCCUGUAGCACUGGUUCGAGUUCCGGCUGCUCCUCUUCCGAUCCAGCUCUCUGUAAUAGCCUGGGAAAGCAGUAGAAGAUAGCCCAAGUCCUUGGGCCCCUGCACCUGCAUGGGAGACCUGGAGGAAGCUCCUGGCUCCUGGCUUUGGAUCUGUUCAGCUCCAGCCAUUGUGGCCAUCUGGGGAGUGAACCAGUGGAUGGAAGACCUCUCUCUGCGUCUCUACCUCUCUCUCUCUCUUUCUCUGCCUCUGCCUCUCUGUAGCUCUGCCUCUCAAAUAAAUAAAUAAAAUCUUAAAAAAAUAAAAAUUAUGCUAAAAUAUUGCACACAUUAAGAAAGUUCUGGUAGGGCCAGCGCUGUGGCGCAGCAAGUAAAGCUGUCGCCUGCAGUGCCAACAUCCCAUAUGGGUGCCGGUUCUAAUCCUAUCUGCUCCACUGAUGACCUACCUCCCUGCUAAUGCACCUGGGAAAGCAGCAGAAGAUGGCCCAAGUGUUUGGGCCUCUGCACCCAAGUGGGAGACCCAGAAGAAGCUCCUGGCUCCUCGAUUCAGACUGGCCCAGCUCCGGCCAUUGUGGCUAUUUGAGGAGUGAACGAGCAGAUGGAAGAUCUCUGUCUCUUCCUUUCUCUCACUCUGUAACUAAAUAAAAAUAAUUAAAAAAUAAAUUUAUGGAUAAAAAUAUGAUAAAUCCUUGGGGCCACAGCAGGUUAAGCCUCAGCUUGUAACACUGACAUCCCGUAUCAGAGUGCUUGUUUGAGUCCUGGCUGCUCUGCUUCUGAUCCAGCUCCCUGCUAAUGCACCUGGGAAAGCAACACAAGAUGCCCCAAGUGCCACCUAUGUGGGGGACCUGAUCAGUCCACAGUGCUUCUUGCUCAGGACCUGAGGUUUCUGGAAAGACCCUCUAGAGCUAACUGCAGGGGAGAUAAACAACCUCACGAUUCUUGCGAUCGGGGGACAGGCAGCACCACUCCCUUAAUUUAGGGAGUUAAUUUGAGUAAGAGGUUGAUGUGCUAAGGAGGCAGCCUGAGCAAUUCUGGGACCAGGGCCAACACCUGCAUCCGAGCACUGUGGAGGGGCUUGGAAUUCUGGUGACUGGAUGGAGAACCUUUUUUUUUUUUUUUCCUGCCAAGGGCUAUUUGGAUACUUAUAACACCAUUGGUGGGCCAUACACAAUGACCAACUUAAAAGUUAGCCUGCUUGGCCAGCGCCGCGGCUCACUAGGCUAAUCUUCCACCUUGCGGCACCGGCACACUGGGUUCUAGUCCCGGUCGGGGCGCCGGAUUCUGUCCCGGUUGCCCCUCUUCCAGGCCAGCUCUCUGCUGUGGCCAGGGAGUGCAGUGGAGGAUGGCCCAAGUACUAGGGCCCUGCACCCCAUGGGAGACCAGAAUAAGUACCUGGCUCCUGCCAUCGGAUCAGCGCGGUGCGCCAGCCGCAGCGCACCGGCGGCGGCGGCCAUUGGAGGGUGAACCAACAGCAAAAGGAAGACCUUUCUCUCUGUCUCUCUCUCUCUCACUGUGCACUCUGCCUGUCAAAAAAAAAAAAAAAAA